rnacentral:rRNA from 1 species
CCUACGGGGGGCUGCAGUGGGGAAUAUUGGACAAUGGGGGGAACCCUGAUCCAGCCAUGCCGCGUGUGUGAAGAAGGCCCUCGGGUUGUAAAGCACUUUCAGUGAGGAAGAACGCCUGGUGGUUAAUACCCAUCAGGAAAGACAUCACUCACAGAAGAAGCACCGGCUAACUCCGUGCCAGCAGCCGCGGUAAUACGGAGGGUGCGAGCGUUAAUCGGAAUUACUGGGCGUAAAGCGCGCGUAGGUGGCUUGAUAAGCCGGUUGUGAAAGCCCCGGGCUCAACCUGGGAACGGCAUCCGGAACUGUCAAGCUAGAGUGCAGGAGAGGAAGGUAGAAUUCCCGGUGUAGCGGUGAAAUGCGUAGAGAUCGGGAGGAAUACCAGUGGCGAAGGCGGCCUUCUGGACUGACACUGACACUGAGGUGCGAGAGCGUGGGUAGCAAACAGGAUUAGAUACCCUUGUAGUC